rnacentral:rRNA from 1 species
GUGAACGCUGGCGGGAGGCCUAACACAUGCAAGUCGAACGGCAGCACAGUAAGAGCUUGCUCUUACGGGUGGCGAGUGGCGGACGGGUGAGGAAUACAUCGGAAUCUACUUUUGCGUGGGGGAUAACGUAGGGAAACUUACGCUAAUACCGCAUACGACCUACGGGUGAAAGCAGGGGAUCUUCGGACCUUGCGCGAUUGAAUGAGCCGAUGUCGGAUUAGCUAGUUUGCGGGGUAAAGGCGCACCAAGGCGACGACCCGUAGCGGGUCAGAGAGGAUGAGCAGCCACCCUGGAAGUGAGACACAGUCCCGACUCCUGCGGGGGGCCGCGGCGGGGAAUAUUGGGCAAAGGGCGAGAGCCUGAUCCAGCCAUACCGCGUGGGUGAAGAAGGCCUUCGGGUUGUAAAGCCCUUUUGUUGGGAAAGAAGAGCAGCAGGUUUAUACCCCGCUGUUAUGACGGUACCCAAAGAAUAAGCACCGGCUAACUUCGUG